rnacentral:rRNA from 1 species
UACGUAGGGUGCAAGCGUUGUCCGGAAUUAUUGGGCGUAAAGAGCUCGUAGGCGGUUUGUCGCGUCUGCUGUGAAAACUCGGGGCUUAACUCCGGGCCUGCAGUGGGUACGGGCAGACUAGAGUACUGCAGGGGAGACUGGAAUUCCUGGUGUAGCGGUGGAAUGCGCAGAUAUCAGGAGGAACACCGGUGGCGAAGGCGGGUCUCUGGGCAGUAACUGACGCUGAGGAGCGAAAGCCGUGGGGAGCGAACAGG